rnacentral:rRNA from 1 species
AGUGAACGCUGGCGGUAGGCCUAACACAUGCAAGUCGAAUGGCAGCACAGUAAGAGCUUGCUCUUACGGGUGGCGAGUGGCGGACGGGUGAGGAAUACAUCGGAAUCUACUUUUUCGUGGGGGAUAACGUAGGGAAACUUACGCUAAUACCGCAUACGACCUACGGGUGAAAGCAGGGGAUCUUCGGACCUUGCGCGAUUGAAUGAGCCGAUGUCGGAUUAGCUAGUUGGCGGGGUAAGGGCCCACCAAGGCGACGAUCCGUAGCUGGUCUGAGAGGAUGAUCAGCCACACUGGAACUGAGACACGGUCCAGACUCCUACGGGAGGCAGCAGUGGGGAAUAUUGGACAAUGGGCGCAAGCCUGAUCCAGCCAUACCGCGUGGGUGAAGAAGGCCUUCGGGUUGUAAAGCCCUUUUGUUGGGAAAGAAAAGCAGCAGGUUAAUACCCCGCUGUUCUGACGGUACCCAAAGAAUAAGCACCGGCUAACUUCGUG